UACGGAGGGAGCUAGCGUUAUUCGGAAUUACUGGGCGUAAAGCGCACGUAGGCGGCUUUGUAAGUUAGAGGUGAAAGCCUGGGGCUCAACCCCAGAAUUGCCUUUAAGACUGCAUCGCUUGAAUCCAGGAGAGGUGAGUGGAAUUCCGAGUGUAGAGGUGAAAUUCGUAGAUAUUCGGAAGAACACCAGUGGCGAAGGCGGCUCACUGGACUGGUAUUGACGCUGAGGUGCGAAAGCGUGGGGAGCGAACAGG
rnacentral:rRNA from 1 species